GACGAACGCUGGCGGCGUGCCUAAUACAUGCAAGUUGAGCGCUGAAGGUUGGUACUUGUACCCACUGGAUGAGCAGCGAACGGGUGAGUAACGCGUGGGGAAUCUGCCUUUGAGCGGGGGACAACAUUUGGAAACGAAUGCUAAUACCGCAUAAAAACUUUAAACACAAGUUUUAAGUUUGAAAGAUGCAAUUGCAUCACUCAAAGAUGAUCCCGCGUUGUAUUAGCUAGUUGGUGAGGUAAAGGCUCACCAAGGCGAUGAUACAUAGCCGACCUGAGAGGGUGAUCGGCCACAUUGGGACUGAGACACGGCCCAAACUCCUACGGGAGGCAGCAGUAGGGAAUCUUCGGCAAUGGACGAAAGGCUGACCGAGCAACGCCGCGUGAGUGGAGAAGGUUUUCGGAUCGGAAAACUCUGUUGGUAGAGAAGAACGUUGGUGAGAGUGGAAAGCUCAUCAAGUGACGGUAACUACCCAGAAAGGGACGGCUAACUACGUG
rnacentral:rRNA from 1 species